GCAGUCGACGGUGAAGCAGAGCUUGCUCUGUGGAUCAGUGGCGAACGGGUGAGUAACACGUGAGCAACCUGCCCCUGACUCUGGGAUAAGCGCUGGAAACGGCGUCUAAUACUGGAUAUGUGACGUGACCGCAUGGUCUGCGUCUGGAAAGAAUUUCGGUUGGGGAUGGGCUCGCGGCCUAUCAGCUUGUUGGUGAGGUAAUGGCUCACCAAGGCGUCGACGGGUAGCCGGCCUGAGAGGGUGACCGGCCACACUGGGACUGAGACACGGCCCAGACUCCUACGGGAGGCAGCAGUGGGGAAUAUUGCACAAUGGGCGGAAGCCUGAUGCAGCAACGCCGCGUGAGGGAUGACGGCCUUCGGGUUGUAAACCUCUUUUAGCAGGGAAGAAGCGAAAGUGACGGUACCUGCAGAAAAAGCGCCGGCUAACUACGUGCCAGCAGCCGCGGUAAUACGUAGGGCGCAAGCGUUAUCCGGAAUUAUUGGGCGUAAAGAGCUCGUAGGCGGUUUGUCGCGUCUGCUGUGAAAUCCGGAGGCUCAACCUCCGGCCUGCAGUGGGUACGGGCAGACUAGAGUGCGGGGGAGAUUGGAAUUCCUGGUGUAGCGGUGGAAUGCGCAGAUAUCAGGAGGAACACCGAUGGCGAAGGCAGAUCUCUGGGCCGUAACUGACGCUGAGGAGCGAAAGGGUGGGGAGCAAACAGGCUUAGAUACCCUGGUAGUCCACCCCGUAAACGUUGGGAACUAGUUGUGGGGUCCAUUCCACGGAUUCCGUGACGCAGCUAACGCAUUAAGUUCCCCGCCUGGGGAGUACGGCCGCAAGGCUAAAACUCAAAGGAAUUGACGGGGACCCGCACAAGCGGCGGAGCAUGCGGAUUAAUUCGAUGCAACGCGAAGAACCUUACCAAGGCUUGACAUAUACGAGAACGGGCCAGAAAU
rnacentral:rRNA from 1 species